rnacentral:rRNA from 1 species
GAUGAACGCUAGCGGCAGGCCUAACACAUGCAAGUCGGAGGGGUAGCAGGGUCUUCGGAUCGCUGACGACCGGCGCACGGGUGCGUAACGCGUAUACAAUCUACCUAUUACUAAGAGAUACGCCCAGAGAAAUUUGGAUUAAUAUUUUAUAGUACUAUCGAUUGGCAUCGAUUGAUAAUUAAAGGUUACGGUAAUAGAUGAGUAUGCGUCCUAUUAGCUAGAUGGUAAGGUAACGGCUUACCAUGGCGACGAUAGGUAGGGGUCCUGAGAGGGAGAUCCCCCACACUGGUACUGAGACACGGGCCAG